rnacentral:rRNA from 1 species
AUUGAACGCUGGCGGCAGGCUUAACACAUGCAAGUCGAGCGAGCGGCGGACGGGUGAGUAAUGUCUGGGAAACUGCCUGAUGGAGGGGGAUAACUACUGGAAACGGUAGCUAAUACCGCAUACCAUCAGAUGUGCCCAGAUGGGAUUAGCUAGUAGGUGGGGUAAGGGCUCACCUAGGCGACGAUCCCUAGCUGGUCGGAGAGGAUGACCAGCCACACUGGAACUGAGCAACGGUCAGAACUCCUAGGGGAGGCAGCAGUGGGGAAUAUUGCACAAUGGGCGCAGGCCUGAUGCAGCCAGGCGGGGUGUGGGAAGAGGGCCUUGGGGUUGUAAAGCACUUUCAGCGAGGAGGCGUUACUCGCAGAAGAAGCACCGGCUAACUCCGUGCAAGCAGCGGCGUAAUAC